rnacentral:lncRNA from 1 species
UGGCGGGCGCCCCUCCCCCAGCCUCGCUGCCGCCUUGCAGUUUGAUCUCAGACUGCUGUGCUAGCAAUCAGCGAGACUCCGUGGGCGUAGGACCCUCCGAGCCAGCAAGCUUGAAGGUGAGCACCUCGAAGGGCUUCUUUUUAUGUUGAAAGGCACGGGUUUGCAUGGCGGUUCAUCAGAGGUCAAUACCCCAGUUUGAGAAAGUCCACUGUGGGGAGGAAAGAGAGACUUAAACAAGCCCUGGAAAAACAAAGAAUGGAACACCCCUCCGCUGACUUCAACCAACUGCCUGCUGAUGCGGCCUGACUCCCAGCCCUUUUUGCAGUUUUGAAGUGACAAACUGACUAGGCUACAAAGUAUUCAACCAUGGGCUGGUUCUGGCUGGUUCACCGAGGCUGUGUACAAAGUGUCUUCAUGUCCUGUGUUUCACCUUUUAACAUACAGAACCUAAUUUUACUGCAUUUUAAUGUUAAUUCUCCACUCGAAGGUGAACAUGGGAUGUAUGUAACACAUAUGUUUGCUUAUCAAGCACACAUAUGACCCCCUUUCAUGAAUAUUCAUAGUUCCCCCUGUGACCUGUUGAAUAUGUCUGUUUAGCCAACCUGUUUGGCAUAAAACUCCUAUCCCACCCUAUCUCCCUCAAAGUACCUGUUUGUGGUCUCAGCUGGAGGUGCCACUUCCCAGCCUGCAGUUUGCAACCCUUCUCAAGAAAUAAAGUCUUCC